rnacentral:rRNA from 1 species
GGCCAGCAGCCGCGGUAAUACGGAGGGUGCAAGCGUUAAUCGGAAUUACUGGGCGUAAAGCGUGCGUAGGCGGCUGAUUAAGUCAGAUGUGAAAGCCCCGGGCUUAACCUGGGAACUGCAUUUGAUACUGGUCAGCUAGAGUUGAGUAGAGGAGAGGGGAAUUUCCGGUGUAGCGGUGAAAUGCGUAGAGAUCGGAAGGAACACCAGUGGCGAAGGCGCCUCUCUGGACUCAAACUGACGCUGAGGUACGAAAGCGUGGGUAGCAAACAGGAUUAGAUACCCUGGUAGUCCACGCCGUAAACGAUGUCAACUAGCCGUUGGUCUUAUUCGUAAGAUUCGUGGCGCAGCUAACGCGAUAAGUUGACCGCCUGGGGAGUACGGCCGCAAGGUUAAAACUCAAAUGAAUUGACGGGGGCCCGCACAAGC